UAUUGCCCCUCGAAAAGAAAAGUGAUACGCAAGGAGCUUGCAGCAAAUAGUAAACACAGCGCCGACGACGCAGUACGUGACUGAAAACUCAUUGCAAACAACGUGAUGACGUCAACUCGGCAUGGAACAGUGUCCAGCUUCUGUGGCAAUGGGCCAUCAUUGCAGCACAAAGAGAGACACCGUUCGCUCAAGCUGCUUCGUCUUUUGGCUGAAGAGGGUGUGAUGGCCGCUGUGGAGAAGAACCCUGUCUGGUUUCCCUUGCUGCACCAGGCCAUCAUGAGUGACGUAGUGCUCCAGAUUUGAGCGCAUUAAAGCCCCAGGACGUCAGUUGAACUAUC